AGCGAACGCUGGCGGCAGGCUUAACACAUGCAAGUCGAGCGGGCACUUUCGGGUGUCAGCGGCGGACGGGUGAGUAACGCGUGGGAACGUGCCCUCUGGUUCGGAAUAACUCGGGAAACUUGAGCUAAUACCGGAUACGCCCUUUUGGGGAAAGGCUUGCUGCCGGAGGAUCGGCCCGCGUCUGAUUAGCUAGUUGGUGAGGUAACGGCUCACCAAGGCGACGAUCAGUAGCUGGUCUGAGAGGAUGAUCAGCCACACUGGGACUGAGACACGGCCCAGACUCCUACGGGAGGCAGCAGUGGGGAAUAUUGGACAAUGGGCGCAAGCCUGAUCCAGCCAUGCCGCGUGAGUGAUGAAGGCCUUAGGGUUGUAAAGCUCUUUUAUCCGGGACGAUAAUGACGGUACCGGAGGAAUAAGCCCCGGCUAACUUCGUG
rnacentral:rRNA from 1 species